GUUUCCAUUGCGAAGAGCGUGCUUUCUUAAAAUCUCUCCCCCUCUCUUCCCGAAAUCAAUGGCAGCAUCAUUUCUUCAAAAACUCCUGUAAAAAAACCCUUGACCUCUCCUCCAUUUAGACUCCUCACAUCCCUCAACAAAACCCAUCUCUCAAAUCCCCCAAUUUGCCCAUUCCUUCACCAAAACCCUGACUCAAACCCAAAUCCAGAGCCCCGAAACACUUUACCCAUCUUUUCCCCAUUGCUUUAUACCCUGGACCCAAUUUCUCUUCAUGGGCUCGGCCUAUUCGACGCAGAUAUGGGCUCCGAUGACGGCCAUGGUGAUGGCGGAGGUCCGGCAAUGUGGGCUGAUAGUGCGAAGAAGAGGAAGAGGAAGAUGAACAAAAAGAAGCUGAGGAAGCGUCUCAGGCGCAAAGCUUGAUCUCAUUUAGCUUAUGAUUGAAUUCCUAAGAAGUUUGGGAUGACUCUGUUGAAGAGCCGUUUGAAAAUAUUCCUGAAGUGGAUACUUCACAUCAAGCUGCAUGUUUUUUCUUAUGUAAUGGAUAGCACUAGAGAGAGUUCAUGGAUAGCAAUCACUUUAUUAUUAUUUUUUUUGAUAUGAUACUUGUUAAUUAGGGGCCUAUUCACUUAGAAUUAUUACGUAGGACAUGCUGUUCAUUCAUCUAAUGGUGUAAUGAAUAAAUCAUGCAAGAUUUCUGUU